AGCAUUUGAAGGCACCUUGUGUGAUGCCAAAAUUAUUGCUAAUAGAAUUGAACAUCUUUAAUCUAAAAUUUCAGUUGCUUGAGAUCUAGCAAAAGAGAAGUUGAUAUCACUGUUGUGUAGGAUUCCAUGAAUUUAACAUUCAGUGUUUUCACUGAAGAACAAUAUAGAUAUACACUCUGGUUAAUUAAACUAAGCCUUACUUAAAAGGCUAUAAUGUUAUGCUGUUUUAUUUUUGUGUAACUAACUAACAAUUUCCUUGAAGUGGAUGUGGCCAUUCAAUUUCUCCUCCAAAACAGUACAUAUCUACUCAACCUGUUUCAAAAAGAAUUCAUCCACUGAAUCAUUUGGAAAAUUUGGAUCUUGCAACAUACAAUGGAAAUGCGUAUGAAAUAAUGUGAUUAAUCUCAUAGCAAAUUUCUCCGAGAAACACAGACAAGGGUCAUAUAUUUGCACAUACCAAACAUAUUGAUGUUAAAUGUAUGUGAUCCAUGUCUAGUCCUCCAAUAUUGCUUGCUGCUCAAGCUCAUUUAAAUGUUCAGUCACAGGGAUUGUUGUGCCAUUUGCAACAAAGUUUUCACUUCUACACUGUAGCAACUGUUCUCGAAGACUUCGGACAAGCUCAUUAAGUUUAUGAAUAUUCUUUUCUUGUGAAAGGAUGAUCUGCAGCAAAGUUGAAAGUGCAUAGAAUUAACAGUAGCCACAAAAUAAAUAUCAUAAUUCUUGACUAACUCUUACGCAACCUUGCAAGUCAAGCAAUCAAGUCAGACUUCAAAAAGAAACAUGGCAUUCAAAUGAUGUUCAAAACUAUGUUAUUUUAAAAUAACUUUUCAAAAAAGAAAAAAACAAAAGACGUUUGUGAAAGCAUGCAGAUAACAAAGUAUAGAUAAUGCGAAGUGCUAUUGCGAGCGAUAAAAUUAGGGGUGGCAAUUUUGGACACGAUCCGCGAACACGACACGAAAAUAUAGGGUUUGGGUUAGGCUUAUUCGUGUUCGUGUCGGUGUCGUGUCAACCCAUUUAGGACACGAUUAUAAUCGUGUCGUGUCGUGCCACGGGUUAACCCACUAACUCAACUUGACACGUUUACGACACGAUUUAAUAUUCGUGUCAUAUAUUGACUCGUGAUUCACUAAAACAUUUGACCCACUAUGACCCAUUAACCCGGUUUGAGCACAUACUGUGUGAGAAACCCAACAGACAGUGGUAAAGCUCUGCAACAGAUGGAAAAUGAGCAUAAUAGAAAUGCUAUAAUAGCUAUAACAAUCAGGACUUGAAAAAAAAAAAAAAGACUGAAAUGCCAAGUUAUGGUAUUGUACCUUUUAAAUGCAAGACUAAAAUCAUUAAUAGAAAGUUUAAUUCCAAUUGACAACAUGAUCCCACUGCUGGGGCGUAUAGCUCCUUAGAUACCCAAGUGAAAGUAGAUGGCUGAGCAAGAGCAGCAAUAGCAGUUGCAGCAACCACAAAAGGAAGCAUUGCUGAAAGAACCUGAGAAGCAUCGGUCUUUGAUACCUCAGCAUCAGGAUUAAUCCCAAAAUACAAAAGAGAAACGUUGCCUUCUCUUCUCUGCAACCCAACUCUUCCUAUAAACGGAGACGUCGAGCAAGCGAAUGUAAGCAAUCCCCCUUUGUUGCAGGCCCUUGGUCCUUCCCGCUUCGAAACUAAACAACAAGUGAACGAACAACGUAAAGAAACAGAGUUUGGUAAUUUUGUGUAGAUGGAGAGUUUUGGCACCGUUGUCACGGGGAGUGUGGGAGAUAUAGAGGUGAUUGAGGCCAUUUAAAUUUCUCAAGAAAACAGAGAUGAAAUGUAAUUGUGAUCUUUGGUGGUUUCAGGUUUUUCUAGUGGUUAAAGGGAGUGGCGUGGACGCCGGAGAGUGGCGGAUUCCGGCGACGUAUUACAGGAGGGAAAGAGAGGCAGUCGAGUACGGGGAAGAGAUGAGGGGAUAAAAU
rnacentral:misc_RNA from 1 species